GAUGAACGCUGGCGGCGUGCCUAAUACAUGCAAGUCGAGCGAACAGACGAGGAGCUUGCUCCUCUGACGUUAGCGGCGGACGGGUGAGUAACACGUGGAUAACCUACCUAUAAGACUGGGAUAACUUCGGGAAACCGGAGCUAAUACCGGAUAAUAUAUUGAACCGCAUGGUUCAAUAGUGAAAGACGGUUUUGCUGUCACUUAUAGAUGGAUCCGCGCCGCAUUAGCUAGUUGGUAAGGUAACGGCUUACCAAGGCGACGAUGCGUAGCCGACCUGAGAAGGUGAUCGGCCACACUGGAACUGAGACACGGUCCAGACUCCUACGGGAGGCAGCAGUAGGGAAUCUUCCGCAAUGGGCGAAAGCCUGACGGAGCAACGCCGCGUGAGUGAUGAAGGUCUUCGGAUCGUAAAACUCUGUUAUUAGGGAAGAACAAAUGUGUAAGUAACUAUGCACGACUUGACGGUACCUAAUCAGAAAGCCACGGCUAACUACGUG
rnacentral:rRNA from 1 species